ensembl:lncRNA
CGCACCUUAUUUCAGGGACGCAUCUCCGUGCCCAACGCCGCCCUCCGGUGCUUGGGGACACGAUGGCAGCUCGGUGGCUGGUGGUGAAGGGGGGAGGGGAAAGAAUGCCAAUUUUGCUUUUGAAAGCCACCAAGAGAGGGAAAGCAGUGAGACAGAAAUGAGGGGAACGUCCUCCUGUUGGAGCACCUUUUGCAUCAGUGCUUUCUUAUGGGAGCAAUGGGAUGUGUGGCAAUGGAAUCAGAUCCAAGCAUUGGAGACUGCCCCAAGCAUCCCAUCCGUGCUACUCACAGCCCUGGGCACAUUUCUGUCCUUCGACUUUGGGUUGAUGAAACGGCACCGUUUUGUUCAGCACGGAGCUCCAAGCAGAGCUGGUGUUGGGGCAGAGGGUUCUGUGCUGCUUUUUGCCUAUUGGUACACUGUGAGCCAAGUGCUGUGUGUGUCAUAGAGCCGUCCCUCUGCAGGAGAUCUGUGGGGCAAAAGAGUUUGGGUUUCUAUCAUGGGGUUGGUGUUUUCCCAAGGCACUCAGUUUUGAGUAAAAGCAUUGUGAAUGCCCCUAAAUCUCCGUCCUGGAGUUUUCCCAAAACCACAAAUGAGGAGAAAGCGCCCAAAAAUAGGGGGAGUGUCGGAGGAGAGCCAGGGAUUGGGCUGUCCAUGGGAACAACGGGGUUAUCCACGGGAUCAAUGGGGACAACCAGGGUUCAAUAAGGAUAAUCCCCCCUCCCCUCAGUACCCAAAUAAGUGCUCUGUGCCUGUACAAACCACCCCAGAGCGGGAUGGGAUGUAGGGACUGGGAGGGAUGCAGGGGGUGAGGGGGAUGCAGAGGUGGGAGGGAUGCAGGGGAUGGAUGGGAUGCAGGGGAUGGAUGGGAUGCGGGGGGGGGGGGGGGGGGGGGGGGGGGGGGGGGGGGGGGGGGGGAGGCACUGCAGUCGGAUCCAAGCAGGAGCAGCCUGACAGAUGGGGCUGCCCUACAUUUCACCCAUGCUUGCAGUUAAGCUGCCUUCCUGUGCCCUCCCCCCCGGCCCCAAAACACUGCGAGUGGAGGAGGUUGGCUCAGGGGUGGCUUUGGGGUGCAGGGACCUGGAGAUGCCAAUAGGGACGCAGCCCCCCCAGGCUGCCCCCCAAGCAUCUCCCCACAAUAUCUCAGCCCUCCCAGGACUUUCUGUUUCUCCUCCUUCUCACCAAAGUGACGUGAGCCCAUGGGGUUCCCAGGCUCUAAUUUCACCCGUGCUGUCAGGUCCCCCCCCCUCCCACGCAUGCGUUGGCACCAGGGAAGCGAAAGAGAACAGGGCUGGGACAGUGGGGACACAGCUGCAGCCUGGCAUGAUGCAGAGUGAGGGUGGGAUCCCUAAACCCCACAAGAAAUGAUUUGGGGCCACAGUUUUCCCCCAGCCUGCAGCAUCCUCUGCUCUGAGAUGUGGGCUCGUGUUAUGCCAGCCCACAGCCAGCCUUAGCCCCUUGCUGAGGAGUGAGUCUGUAACCCCUCCAUAUGGGGUUUUGGGGCCGGAUCCUGCUUCCACUGCAAUAGGGCUCUCCCCAUCCCAUGGCUGUAGCUAUUGGGUUCUCACCAGGGCGGUUUCUAUUCCUCCUGAAACUUGACAUGAGAGCAUAAAACCCACUCAGAAAUGUGGGUACAGCAGGGAAAUCCCCCACUGGGUCCCCAAAAGCCACCAGCUUUGUGCUCUGCCCCCUCUGCACCGAGGUCCCUGUGUCCCCAUGGGGUGCCUGACUCUUCCAAGCUCUGGAAUUCUCCAUUUUCAGGCGCUUUUCUGAGCUUCACCCACCACAGUGCUGUUUUCACUUUGGUGCUGUGCUUCCCAUGGGGCUGUGACCCCCUGAUUGGUGCCCCCCACCCAUUCAUGCCUCUGCUUGAUCAUUACCCUGAGUGCUCCGCAGAGGGGCUCAGGCCACCUCCCUGAGCCAGGAGGAGGAAAAACACAGAGGCAGAGAAGAAAAGGAGUUUCUCACCCAUUGAUGCUCGCCCACCACCCAAAGCCAUGCUCCAGGGCAGCAGAAAUGCAGGCAGAGCAGUGUCAGCCUUGUCCCAGCCACGAGGAGCACCCACAUCCCAGGCAGAGCACCCAUAGACAUCACUGCAUCCCCAUGACAACCAUCAGGUCCCCAUCCACCCUUCCUCUCUUCCCCAUAUCCCUUCGAGGUCAGCACACCCCUCCAGGCAGAGCUCACCACCCCAAAACACAGCAUCAGGGGGAACCCCGUGCUGUCCCUCCCAUGCACCCUGAGGUUCUCCCCACCCAGGCACUGCUGGGUACGGGGGUGCAACUUCUUUCCAUUCCGAGGAGAUUCCCCAAGCCCCCACGCAGGCGAAAGCACCGCGGGUUUCCUGCCUGUGGGCGGAUGCUAUCCUGGGCUGCAGGCACUGCGUGAUGCAGUGGGGGGGAGGGGGGGGCCCUGCUGGGGUUGGGGACGCCGUGUUUCCGCCCCGAGAGCUCUCUCACAGACCUACGUGUUUCUUUUGUUGUUGUUUAUUUGAAAGCAGGUUUUCCAUCCCUCUGUGAGGGAUGGCAAUAGGGAGGAUACAGAGCAUCCGCAGGUGCCGCGCUCUGGGUAUCGGUUUGGGGAGGAUGAAGGCAUCCUCACCACCUCAUCAUCACAGCAUCUGAAAGUCACAGUUUGGGGACCACCCAACUCCGAGACCACAAGGCUGCAAUGGGCUGGGAAAGAAAAAUAAAAUAAAAUAAAAUAAACCA